GUGUUCCCUUUGGCAGCACAUAAAGUAAAAACUGAAAUGAUACAGAGAAGAUUCAGCAUUACCCUUGCACCAGAAUUACAUGCAAAUUUGUGAAAGAAUUUGGAGAGAAAAUAUUU
ensembl:snRNA U6 U6 spliceosomal RNA